rnacentral:rRNA from 1 species
CUUGGUCAUUUAGAGGAGUAAAAGUCGUAACAAGGUUUCCGUAGGUGAACCUGCGGAAGGAUCAUUAUCGAAAUUAUUGGUGAGGGUUGUAGCUGGCCUUUCGAGGCAUGUGCACGCUCGAGCCCUUAAUCCACUUUACACCUGUGCACUUAAUGUAGGUCGCCCUUAAAAAAGGUGACCUAUGUCUUAUCAUCAACCCAUCGUAUGUCUCAUAGAAUGUAAUCGAUAUCCUCGCCCUGAAAAAGCGUUGAUAAACUUAUACAACUUUCAACAACGGAUCUCUUGGCUCUCGCAUCGAUGAAGAACGCAGCGAAAUGCGACAAGUAAUGUGAAUUGCAGAUUUUCAGUGAAUCAUCGAAUCUUUGAACGCACCUUGCGCUCCUUGGUAUUCCGAGGAGCAUGCCUGUUUGAGUGUCAUUAAAUUCUCAACUCCAAGGGUUUCACGACCUUUCGGAGAUUGGACUUGGAGGUGCUGGCCGCAUAUUGGUCGGCUCCUCUCAAAUGCAUCAGCGGAAUUCAACCUUUGGCUUCCGGAUGUCAGUGUGAUAAUCAUGUUGCGCUGUCGUUUGAUCCCUCAGAGUCCGCUUAUAAUGGUCUUCGGACAAAAUCAUCAUCAAAUUUGACCUCAAAUCAGGUAGGACUACCCGCUGAACUUAAGCAUAUCAAUAAGCGGAGGAA